UUUGGGCAGGGAGAAGGGAGAAUGUCAAUUAACAUCAGUUUCAGGCUAACUUUCAAAUGCUGCAGAAUACAUUCAACUGAAAAUACCUAGCUGCAACUGCAACUUGGAAUGGGGUCAGGUGAGAGGAAACCAGCACUGUAUGGACCCAACGACACUAGCAAGCAUAGAUGCACAAUUUGAAGCCACCAUUUCAAGAGACUUGGCUGGGUUCUGAAAAAGGUCCUAGAACCAGAAAGGCAAAACGUUAACGUUGAGCCUUGUGGCGGCCCACUGCCAGGGUGAGGGAAAUGGGGAUAGUAGGAGAGCUUCUGGCCCCAGCCUUCAGUCUUCUUUCUCCGACUAUCAGUAGUACCACUCUCCUUUCCCACUGGAUCACAGGUUUUUUGAGGGCCAGGGCUGUUUUUCGUUCCUAUAUUCCCUGUGCCUGGCACAUAGUCGAUGCUAAUAAAUGUUUGUUAAACAAAUGUUAUCUUAGCAAUGAUUCUGUUUCGUAAGCAUAAGAAAAGAUACAGGUACCAGAAGAUCACUUACAUUUAAUGAGCCCUCUUUUUCCAAGGCCCUAAAGGCUAGUAUCUAAGUUUGGUCUUCUCUCAUAUGUCUACUUAUUAGUCUCCAAAUGCACCCCCUAGCAAGGCCAUGGCACUGGCACUCUAGAAUGAGAGAGGGUGGAGUGAUCGCCAUGGGCCAGCAGUGGCUCCCAACAGUGCUUCACCCUCAAAAAAAUUUUUUUUUAUUUUUUUGAGAUGGAGUCUCCCUCUAUUGCCCAGGCUAGAGUGCAGUGGCACGAUCUCGGCUCACUGCAACUUGUCUCCUGGGUUCAAGCAAUUCUCUUGCCUCAGCCUCCCGAGUAGCUGGGACUACAGGAGCGUGCCAUCAUGCUAGGUUAAUUUUUGUAUUUUUAGUAGAGACAGGGUUUCACCAUAUUGGUCAGGCUGGUCUUGAACUCCUGACCUUGUGAUCCACCUACCUCGGCCUCCCAAAGUGCUGGGAUUACAGGCGUGAGCCACCCAUGCCCGGCCCCAAAAAUAUUUUUAUAUAUUUAAAAAAAUAAUAAAAUGAGAGACACCGCAGCUGAAUGAAUACACGCUCUAUGAAGAGAGACAAUCACAAGCUACACCAAAUCUAGGCCAGGAGUUCGAGACCAGCCUGACCAACAUGGUGAAACCCUGUCUCUACU
rnacentral:lncRNA from 1 species